rnacentral:rRNA from 1 species
AUUGAACGCUGGCGGCAGGCCUAACACAUGCAAGUCGAACGAGUGGCGGACGGGUGAGUAAUGUCUGGGAAACUGCCCGAUGGAGGGGGAUAACUACUGGAAACGGUAGCUAAUACCGCAUACCAUCGGAUGUGCCCAGGUGGGAUUAGCUAGUAGGUGGGGUAAGGGCUCACCUAGGCGACGAUCCCUAGCUGGUCUGAGAGGAUGACCAGCCACACUGGAACUGAGACACGGUCCAGACUCCUACGGGAGGCAGCAGUGGGGAAUAUUGCACAAUGGGCGCAAGCCUGAUGCAGCCAUGCCGCGUGUAUGAAGAAGGCCUUCGGGUUGUAAAGUUCUGUCAGCGGGGAGGCGUUACCCGCAGAAGAAGCACCGGCUAACUCCGUGCCAGCAGCCGCGGUAAUAC